UUCAUCAUUAAAGUAUUUCCGUUUCCCAAUGAAACACUCUGUAUAAAGCUUUUUAAUGACUACUUAAAUGCGCUAUCAGCUGAAUCGUUUAAACUACUUCAGGAAAAUACCAAUAUUAGAAGUAAUUAUAAAAAAUUGACAGAAUGUAUUUUGGCUAAGACGGUGAUUUUUAACCGUAAAAGAGUAGGGGACGUGCAGUAUUUAACAGUAGAAACCUACGGGAGGAACUACGAUACACUUAAUCAAGAAAGUUUUACAGAGGCACUCACUGAAGUUGAAAAGAUUAUAUAUAAAAAUCAUAGGCGUUUUGUAACUGGAGGUAAAGGCUCAAAACCUGUUCCAAUUUUAUUUUCAUUCCAGACGCAAAAAUACAUUAGCCUUUUACUAAAAGUCAGACAAGAAACCAAUGUUGUACCAGAAACCAAUCCAUAUCUUUUUGUGCAAAUCCUGAUUCCGAAGAUCGCUGGAUGUCUGGCGCAAACACAAUUAGAAAGAUAGCUAUUAAUUGUGGAGCCAAACAUCCAGAACUAUUGACAUCAACUAGAUUUUGGAAACAAAUUGCCACGACUCUGCAAUUAUUAGCCCUCGAUGAUGACGAAAUGGAACAAAUCGCCACUUUUAUGGGACAUACAAAGAAGACACAUACCGAGUUUAACAGGUAAUGUCAACUUUAAGAGUAUGCAUGCACUGUUAAUUUUGGUUAGGAUUUUUUUAAACUUUUUAUGCUUGAUAUGAUAUAUCAUACAUAAUGUAAUAGAAUUAGCAACAAUGGUAAAGUUUCGAAAAGUUUACUUUAAAGGUAUCUCGUACACAAAAUAUUUCAAAAAGCUUUCUUUGAAAAAUAGUUAAAACCGGGUUUUAAUUGUUCCUUGUCCGAACUUAGCAAAACGCGUGUUGAGUCUAAAUUUGUUUAAUGAAUAAACAUUUCUUUUUAAAAUUUACCAGCAUAUUUUCUUUCAGCCUUUCCGAUAUAUUUGAAUGCGAUAUAUGAAAAAUCGUUAUUUCCCCUUUAAUAUUCGAAAAUCGUUGUUAGAAUGUAUGCUUCAUAAAUCCGUAUUUAAAAUAAAUUAUUGUUCUAUUAGACUCUCACUGUUUCCGAUAAGGUAAAUUCGAUGGAUACCUAAACCAUGUAUCUACAUAGACAUUUAAAUCGUUUUAAAAUUAAUAAAAUACUUUUAGACUACCGCAAGAUAUCUACCAGACUGCUAAAGUAGCAAAGAUUCUUUUACUUAUGGAAAAAGGCAAGGGAAAUCGGUACCGAGGAAAAAAAUGAAGUGAAAUCAAUAUAGAUGAUAACGAAUACUAUAGCUCUGAAUACGAAGGCGAUGAAGAACCGAUUAUGCAGAAGGUGCUAAAGCGGGUUACAAGGGGAAAAAACCUGAAGACGAAUUAGAUGGAGAUUCUGACAGAUAUGUGCAUCAGUCAACGGAACGUGAUCAACAUAAUGAAAACACAUUAUCAAGAAAUUAUUUUAAAAAGGCGACUAGGCCGUUUCACGAAUCUAACGAAGAAAAUAGUGAAGAACCACCAACAAAAAAAACUAAAGAAUCAACCACGAAAUCCAUCCAGAGAUUCAGAGCCAAAUGGUCAGAUAAUGAAAAACAAGUUUUACUUCAGUACUUUGAAAAACAUAUUGAAAAAAAAAUUACCCCUCGGAAACAUGAAUGUGACGAACUACUGAAACUACAUCCACACGUGUUCGAAAAUAAGGACUGGGUCCGAAUAAAAACAUAUGUGUAUAAUACAUUCCGUGAAAGGAAGUGAUUGCUUAUUUUUAUUUUUACUGAACCACAUACUCGUAAUAGAUUAUUUUUAGUUCCAAUAAAUUACUUUUAAAUAA
rnacentral:lncRNA from 1 species